rnacentral:rRNA from 1 species
AUUGAACGCUGGCGGCAUGCCUUACACAUGCAAGUCGAACGGCAGCACGGGGCAACCUGGUGGCGAGUGGCGAACGGGUGAGUAAUGCAUCGGAACGUACCUUUCAGUGGGGGAUAACGUAGCGAAAGUUACGCUAAUACCGCAUAUUCUGUGAGCAGGAAAGCAGGGGAUCGCAAGACCUUGCGCUGAUUGAGCGGCCGAUGUCAGAUUAGCUAGUUGGUGAGGUAAAGGCUCACCAAGGCGACGAUCUGUAGCGGGUCUGAGAGGAUGAUCCGCAACACUGGAACUGAGACACGGUCCAGACUCCUACGGGAGGCAGCAGUGGGGAAUUUUGGACAAUGGGGGCAACCCUGAUCCAGCCAUGCCGCGUGAGUGAAGAAGGCCUUCGGGUUGUAAAGCUCUUUCGGCCGGGAAAAAAUCGCAUGGGUUAAUACCCUGUGUGGAUGAUGGUACCGGAAUAAGAAGCACCGGCUAACUACGUGCCAGCCGCCGCCGUAA